CGGAGCUAACGCGUUAAAUCGACCGCCUGGGGAGUACGGCCGCAAGGUUAAAACUCAAAUGAAUUGACGGGGGCCCGCACAAGCGGUGGAGCAUGUGGUUUAAUUCGAUGCAACGCGAAGAACCUUACCUGGUCUUGACAUCCACAGAACUUAGCAGAGAUGCUUUGGUGCCUUCGGGAACUGUGAGACAGGUGCUGCAUGGCUGUCGUCAGCUCGUGUUGUGAAAUGUUGGGUUAAGUCCCGCAACGAGCGCAACCCUUAUCCUUUGUUGCCAGCGGUCCGGCCGGGAACUCAAAGGAGACUGCCAGUGAUAAACUGGAGGAAGGUGGGGAUGACGUCAAGUCAUCAUGGCCCUUACGACCAGGGCUACACACGUGCUACAAUGGCAUAUACAAAGAGAAGCGACCUCGCGAGAGCAAGCGGACCUCAUAAAGUAUGUCGUAGUCCGGAUUGGAGUCUGCAACUCGACUCCAUGAAGUCGGAAUCGCUAGUAAUCGUAGAUCAGAAUGCUACGGUGAAUACGUUCCCGGGCCUUGUACACACCGCCCGUCACACCAUGGGAGUGGGUUGCAAAAGAAGUAGGUAGCUUAACCUUCGGGAGGGCGCUUACCACUUUGUGAUUCAUGACUGGGGUGAAGUCGUAACAAGGUAACCGUAGGGGAACCUGCGGUUGGAUCACCUCCUU
rnacentral:rRNA from 1 species